CCUACGGGCGGCUGCAGUGAGGAAUAUUGGUCAAUGGACGAGAGUCUGAACCAGCCAAGUAGCGUGAAGGAUGACUGCCCUAUGGGUUGUAAACUUCUUUUAUAUGGGAAUAAAACGUUCCACGUGUGGGAUUUUGUAUGUACCAUAUGAAUAAGGAUAGGCUAACUCCGUGCCAGCAGCCGCGGUAAUACGGAGGAUCCGAGCGUUAUCCGGAUUUAUUGGGUUUAACGGGAGCGUAGGUGGAUUGUUAAGUCAGUUGUGAAAGUUUGCGGCUCAACCGUAAAAUUGCAGUUGAAACUGGCAGUCUUGAGUACAGUAGAGGUGGGCGGAAUUCGUGGUGUAGCGGUGAAAUGCUUAGAUAUCACGAAGAACUCCGAUUGCGAAGGCAGUUCACUGGACUGCAACUGACACUGAGGCUCGAAAGUGUGGGUAUCAAACAGGAUUAGAUACCCCUGUAGUC
rnacentral:rRNA from 1 species